AUUGAACGCUGGCGGCAGGCCUAACACAUGCAAGUCGAGCGGAUGAAGGGAGCUUGCUCCUGGCUUCAGCGGCGGACGGGUGAGUAAUGCCUAGGAAUCUGCCUGGUAGUGGGGGAUAACGUCCGGAAACGGGCGCUAAUACCGCAUCCGUCCUGAGGGAGAAAGUGGGGGAUCUUCGGACCUCACGCUAUCAGAUGAGCCUAGGUCGGAUUAGCUAGUUGGUGGGGUAAAGGCCUACCAAGGCGACGAUCCGUAACUGGUCUGAGAGGGUGAUCAGUCACACUGGAACUGAGACACGGUCCAGACUCCUACGGGAGGCAGCAGUGGGGAAUAUUGCACAAUGGGCGAAAGCCUGAUCCAGCCAUGCCGCGUGUGUGAAGAAGGUCUUCGGAUUGUAAAGCACUUUAAGUUGGGAGGAAGGGCAGUAAGUUAAUACCUUGCUGUUUUGACGUUACCAACAGAAUAAGCACCGGCUAACUUCGUG
rnacentral:rRNA from 1 species